GUGCCGUCCUGUCUCAGAUUAGCCAUGCAUGUGUAAGUAUAAGCGAUUGUACUGUGAGACUGCGAACGGCUCAUUAUAUCAGUAAUAAUUUCUUCGGUAGUUUCUUUUAUAUGGAUACCUGCAGUAAUUCUGGAAAUAAUACAUGCUGUAAGAGCCCUGUAUGGGGCUGCACUUAUUAGAUUGAAGCCGAUUUUAUUGGUGAAUCAUGAUAAUUGAGCAGAUUGACUUUUUUGGUCAAUGAAUCGUUUGAUUUUCUGCCCCAUCAUUUGUCAACGGUAGGGUAUUGGACUACGGGGACUAUAACGGGGGACGGAAAGUUAGGGCUCGACCCCGGAAAGGGAGCCUGAAAAACGGCUACCAUUUCCAAGGAUAGCACCAGGGGCGUAAAUUACCCACUGGGGACUCCACGAGGUAUUGACAAGAAAUAUCGAUGCGAAGCGGGUAUGCUUUUUGCUUUCGGAAUGAAAGCAAUGUAAAACCCUCAUCGAGGAUCAACUGGAGGGCAAGUCUGGGGCCAGCAGCCGCGGUAAUUCCAGCUCGCAGACCGGAUACGCAGCAUGCUAAAGUUGUUGCAGUUAAAAGCUCGUAGUUGAAUUUCUGGCAUGGGCGACCGGGCUUUCCCUGAAUGGGAAUUGAUUGUCGGGUUGCCUUGGCCACUUUUUCUUUCAUGUAUUAAGUGAGAAAUCUUUCACUAUAUCAAAGCAAAUGUUUCAAGCAGGUCGUAUGACCGGUAUGUUAUAUAGGAUGAUAGAUAGGACUGGGGGCAUAUUUGUUGGUUGCCACGCCUGAGUAUAGUUAAAUAGGACACAUUGGGGGAUUCUGUAUUUAGAGCAUAGAGGGGAAUCUCUGGAUUCCGGAAGACGCAACUAGAGCGAGAGCCAUUACCCAACAAGUGUUCAUAUAUAAAAACGAAAUGUCUGGGGAUCAAAUAGGAUGAUACAGUCCCUUUGUAGUUUGACCCUAAACGAUCCCACUGUCGAUUUUGGGUCUCUUUUUAAUGGCCUACGGACGCAUGAUCACGCUGGGAAAUCCAGAAUGUCAGCGUACCAGGGGGAUUACGAGUACCAAGGUACUGAAAUGAAACGAAUCGACGUCGAAGUGAUGCACCCCCCAGGAGGGGACCCUGGGGCUUAAUUUGAUUCACCCGGGGAAAACUUCCCAGGUCCAACCUUAGGUAGGAUUGACGGAUUGGGGGUUUUUUCAGGAUUUUUGGGGGGGGGGGCCAGGCCCGUUUUUAGUUGGGGGAGGGAUUUUUUGGGUUAAUUCCGUUAACGAAGGGACCCUUGCCCUAUUAAAAAGGGGGGGGUAGGGCAACAAAGUCGGUUUUAACUUUUUAAAGGGACAUUUCCGGUUUACGGGCCGGAAGUUGGGGGCAAAAACCGGUUUGGGAUGCCCUUAAAUUUUUUGGGCCCCCCCCCCCUUCCCCUGAUGGGUUCAUCGGGUUUUAAUUUUAAUUUUUGGAAUUGAGUGCUUGGUCGGAAGGCCUGGCUAAUCCUUGGAACGCUCAUCGUGCUGGGGCUAGAUUUUUGCAAUUAUUAAUCUCCAACGAGGAAUUCCUAGUAAACGCAAGUCAUCAGCUUGCAUUGAAUACGUCCCUGCCCUUUGUACACACCGCCCGUCGCACCUACCGAUUGAACGGUCCGAUGAAACCAUGGGAUGUUUCUGUUUGGAUUAAUUUUUGGACAGAGGCAGAACUCGGGUGAAUCUUAUGUAAGAACAUUCUUU
rnacentral:rRNA from 1 species